rnacentral:rRNA from 1 species
AGGACGAACGCUGGCGGCGUGCUUAACACAUGCAAGUCGAGCGAGGCCCUUCCUUCGGGGAGGUGCCCUAGCGGCGAACGGGUGAGUAACACGUGGGCAACCUGCCCCUAGCACUGGGAUAACUCCGGGAAACCGGGGCUAAUACCAGAUAUGACCUUCUUGGGCAUCCUCGAAGGUGUAAAGGAUUCUGGCUAGGGAUGGGCCCGCGGCCUAUCAGCUUGUUGGUGGGGUAAUGGCCUACCAAGGCGACGACGGGUAGCCGGCCUGAGAGGGUGACCGGCCACACUGGGACUGAGAUACGGCCCAGACUCCUACGGGAGGCAGCAGUGGGGAAUAUUGCACAAUGGGCGGAAGCCUGAUGCAGCAACGCCGCGUGCGGGAUGACGGCCUUCGGGUUGUAACCGCUUUCAGUGGGGACGAAGCUAACGUGACGGUACCUACAGAAGAAGCACCGGCCAACUACGUGCCAGCAGCCGC